UUGAAGGAAAAUGACCAAGAAAUUCGAAAAAAAAUUGAGACACAAAUUUUGUUAAAAAAAUUAAUUUGGCCCCUAAAAUUAAAAUUUAUAAUAUUUUAAUUUUUAUUAUUAAGAACUUUUAUAUAAUUUUAAAAAAUUUAGAGGGGGCCAUUGCCACUGUGGGCCCCUCAAUAGCUCCGUCCCUGAAUACAUAUAUUUAUUAUCUAGAUGGCUUAGAUUGAAAUGUAAUAUGAGAUAAAGGUUGAUAAAUAAACGAUGUACAAAAAUGAGAUGCACCCGGCAUAGAUGGAACUUCUCAAAUGUAUAUAUUUUUGCACCUAGUGUAUUCCUAGCUUGUAAAGAAAAUUUAAUAUGAAAAAAUAUUUAAUUUGAUAGCUAAAAUAUUUAAAUUUUUUAUAUAAAGAACCCUAAACUUUGGCCCACUCACACUCUCUUUCUUCAAAACUUGAUAAUAAUUAAAGUUUUAUUAUUUAAUUUUAGUUAUUAUUAUUUUUGUUAUUAUUAUUAAAUUAUAGUAAUAGAAAAUUUUACAACACAAUAUUUAUUACUAUUAAUAAAAAAUUAUAAUUUAAUUAAAUAAUAUUUAUUGCUAUUAUUAAAUAUAAAUUUUUAAUUGUUACUAUUAUUAUUAUUAAAAUUAAUUAUUAUUAAAUAUUAAAGAGAGAGAGUGUGUGUGCGGGGUUGUGGUGGUGGGAGGGGGGAGAGAGAGUGUGUGGUGAGAGAGAUAUAGAGAGAGAAAGAGAUAUACAUUAUAUAUAUAAUAUGUUAUUAUUUGGUUUAGAUAUUUUUAGAAAAAAAUGUACUUCAAUUUUAUUUUUUAUUUUUUAAAAUUCUAAUAAAGGCCUCCAUUUAUUUUGGGUAGGGGUGGAACUGGGCCCGGGCCUAAAUAAGGGCCGGCCCGAUGGGCCAUAUUUGGGCUGGGCUUUGGAUAUUAAAAAUAUAACUUUGGGUUCGGGCCGGGCUUAAAAAUUUAGGCCCGAAAAAAUUUUGGGCUUACUUAGACAUGUCCAAGCCCGGCCCGAGCCCGACCCGAAAGCCCGAUAUAUUAAUUAUCAAAAUAAAAUAUUUAAUUAUAUAUAUAUAUAUACAGAGAGAGAGAGAGAGAGAGAGAGAGUAGGCUGGUAUGCUUAUUGAAGCACGGAGGCCUCUGUGCUUCCACUUUGUUUUCAAUGUUCGGACUUUCGAAUCGACGAUCGGCUCCGUUAGAGUUGAUCUAGAGUAUUUGAAGUACCUAAAAAAUAAAUUUUGUGAUUUUUCGAUAUCAUUUGCCUAGUGAUCGAAGGGGCUCAAAAUUAAUAAUUUUAAUGGCCGUGGUGAGCCGGUUGCAAGUUUAACGGUGUAGAAAUAUCCAAAUCGCAUAAAAUUUUGAUAAAAAAUUCUUUAUACCAUAUAAAACAAGAUCAUUAACUUUGAUCUAAAAUUUUAAUGUCAUAUCAUCAUAUUUUGUAAGAUUUUUAUUUUCAGCCGUUGAUUUUGAGCCACUUCGAUCACUAGGCAAAUGAUAUCGAAAAAUCGCAAAAUUUAUUUUCUAGAUACUUCAAAU
rnacentral:lncRNA from 1 species